rnacentral:SRP_RNA from 11 species
CUGGCGCCACUCCGGAAUUGCGUUCCUGAUGAUCUCCAGGGCCCAAUGCUGCACCGUGAACGCUUGCCCCCCUUCGACGUGGUGGUCGUGGUCGUACAUCUGGAGGGCCUGCGUCUCCUCCUCAGU